GGGGCUGUUCUGGAUUUGACGGCAAGACGAGAUGGUAUGUAAGCAUGCGGAGCCUCGUUGGCUAGCUCCUAAAUCUGAGUGAACAAAAAAUUAAUUGGCGAAAACAAUUACGCUCUCGCUGCCUAAUCGAAGUAUAGUAGAUUACUGGCUCAAUCCCGUCACUAGGUGAUGGGACGAGACAUCGCUCAAGGGAUGUUGUUCCGAAUCUUCUUGAUCAAGCGGUGCAGGUAAAUCGGAAAUAGUUUUGGCAGGCCUCGCUGCCGGAAUGAAAUUUUUAGAGGAUAAGGUUGCAGUUGGUGGUCCAGGUCUUGCUGCAACACGAAAAUGAAGGCUGGAAUAAACAUGUAGAAAGCAUAUGGUUUCCUUGUUCGGACGCGGGUUCAAAUCCCGCCAGCUCCACA
rnacentral:tmRNA from 1 species